rnacentral:misc_RNA from 1 species
UCCGGCUUGACGCCGGCAGUCCCCCGAGAGUCCUCAGCAUGACCUGUUAGUAACACGGGGCAAGGGUUGCGCUCGUUGCGGGACUUAACCCAACAUCUCACGACACGAGCUGACGACAACCAUGCACCACCUGUGUACGGCCCCUAAGGACACCAUAUCUCUAUGGCUUUUCCGUACAUUUCAAGCCUUGGUAAGGUUCUUCGCGUUGCUUCGAAUUAAUCCACAUAAUCCACCGCUUGUGCGGGCCCCCGUCAAUUCCUUUGAGUUUUAGCCUUGCGGCCGUACUCCCCAGGCGGGGCGCUUAAUGCGUUAGCUACGGCACGGACAACGUGGAUGUCGCCCACACCUAGCGCCCAACGUUUACAGCGUGGACU